UACAGAGGUCUCAACCGUUGUUCGGAUUCAUUGGGCGUAAAGGGUGCGUAGGCGGUCGCGUAAGUCAGGUGUGAAAUCUCAGGGCUCAACCCUGAAACUGCACUUGAUACUGCGUGGCUCGGGUACUGGAGAGGAGACUGGAAUUUACGGUGUAGCAGUGAAAUGCGUAGAUAUCGUAAGGAAGACCAGUGGCGAAGGCGAGUCUCUGGACAGUUACUGACACUGAGGCACGAAGGCCAGGGGAGCAAACGGG
rnacentral:rRNA from 1 species